rnacentral:rRNA from 1 species
GAUGAACGCUGGCGGCGUGCCUAAUACAUGCAAGUCGAGCGAACAGACGAGGAGCUUGCUCCUUUGAUGUUAGCGGCGGACGGGUGAGUAACACGUAGGUAACCUACCUAUAAGACUGGGAUAACUUCGGGAAACCGGAGCUAAUACCGGAUAAUAUUUCGAACCGCAUGGUUCGAUAGUGAAAGACGGUUUUGCUGUCACUUAUAGAUGGACCCGCGCCGUAUUAGCUAGUUGGUAAGGUAACGGCUUACCAAGGCAACGAUACGUAGCCGACCUGAGAGGGUGAUCGGCCACACUGGAACUGAGACACGGUCCAGACUCCUACGGGAGGCAGCAGUAGGGAAUCUUCCGCAAUGGGCGAAAGCCUGACGGAGCAACGCCGCGUGAGUGAUGAAGGUCUUCGGAUCGUAAAACUCUGUUAUUAGGGAAGAACAAACGUGUAAGUAACUGUGCACGUCUUGACGGUACCUAAUCAGAAAGCCACGGCUAACUACGUG